rnacentral:rRNA from 1 species
CAGUAGCCACGGGAAUACGGAGGGAGCUAGCGUUAUUCGGAAUUACUGGGCGUAAAGCGCACGUAGGCGGCUUUGUAAGUAAGAGGUGAAAGCCCAGAGCUCAACUCUGGAAUUGCCUUUUAGACUGCAUCGCUUGAAUCAUGGAGAGGUCAGUGGAAUUCCGAGUGUAGAGGUGAAAUUCGUAGAUAUUCGGAAGAACACCAGUGGCGAAGGCGGCUGACUGGACAUGUAUUGACGCUGAGGUGCGAAAGCGUGGGGAGCAAACAGGAUUAGAUACCCCGGUAGUCCCUGUCUCUUAUAA